GACGAACGCUGGCGGCGUGCCUAAUACAUGCAAGUCGAGCGGACUUUCAAGAAGCUUGCUUUUUGAAAGUUAGCGGCGGACGGGUGAGUAACACGUGGGCAACCUGCCUGUAAGACGGGGAUAACUCCGGGAAACCGGGGCUAAUACCGGAUAAUAUCUUUCUUCGCAUGAAGGAAGGUUGAAAGGCGGCGCAAGCUGCCGCUUGCAGAUGGGCCCGCGGCGCAUUAGCUAGUUGGGGAGGUAACGGCUCACCAAGGCGACGAUGCGUAGCCGACCUGCGAGGGAGAUCGGCCACACUGGGACUGAGACACGGCCCAGACGCCUACGGGAGGCAGCAGUAGGGAAUCUUCCGCAAUGGACGAAAGUCUGACGUAGCAACGCCGCGUGAGCGAAGAAGGUCUUCGGAUCGUAAAGCUCUGUUGUCAGGGAAGAACAAGUACCGUUCGAAUAGGGCGGUACCUUGACGGUACCUGACCAGAAAGCCACGGCUAACUACGUGCCAGCAGCCGCAGUAA
rnacentral:rRNA from 1 species